GAUGAACGCUGGCGGCGUGCCUAAUACAUGCAAGUCGAGCGAACGGACGAGAAGCUUGCUUCUCUGAUGUUAGCGGCGGACGGGUGAGUAACACGUGGAUAACCUACCUAUAAGACUGGGAUAACUUCGGGAAACCGGAGCUAAUACCGGAUGAUAUUUUGAACCGCAUGGUUCAAAAGUGAAAGACGGUCUUGCUGUCACUUAUAGAUGGAUCCGCGCUGCAUUAGCUAGUUGGUAAGGUAACGGCUUACCAAGGCAACGAUGCAUAGCCGACCUGAGAGGGGGAUCCGCCACACUGGAACUGAGAACCGGUCCAGACUCCCACGGGAGGGAGCCGUAGGGAAUCUUCCGCAAUGGGCGAAAGCCCGACGGGGCAACCCCGCGUGGGGGAUGAAGGUCUUCGGGUUGGAAAACUCUUUUUUUAGGGAAAAAAAUAUGUGUAAGGAACUGUGCACAUCUUGGCGGUACCUAAACAGAAAGCCCCCGCUAACUUCGGU
rnacentral:rRNA from 1 species